rnacentral:lncRNA from 1 species
AUAAUAAAAAAACAGCAAUAGAACACUACUCCACAUACACCUUAAUUGCGCUGUCGAUAUCGGGAAGGCGAAUCCUGAUCCCCACUUCUCAUUCGCCACAACUGUUAGCGUCGAGCUUCUCUUCAAUCGCAGCAACACAUAUCUUAUUUUAUUUGUUUCUUUUAUAGAAUUAAUUUGUUUAGAUGACAAUAAAUAUGAACAUAUUAAUUAAGAAAUGAAUACGUGGGAAGACGAAACAUUAUGCGGAGAUAAAAGAUAAUAAAUUCGAUCAUUAGGAAUAAAGAAAAAGGCAAGAAUGGGGGAAGGAGGCAAGGAUGAAGGAGGCUUUGCCAUGUGGC